GACGAACGCUGGCGGCGUGCUUAACACAUGCAAGUCGAACGGAAAGGCCCUGCUUUUGUGGGGUGCUCGAGUGGCGAACGGGUGAGUAACACGUGAGUAACCUGCCCUUGACUUUGGGAUAACUUCAGGAAACUGGGGCUAAUACCGGAUAGGAGCUCCUGCUGCAUGGUGGGGGUUGGAAAGUUUCGGCGGUUGGGGAUGGACUCGCGGCUUAUCAGCUUGUUGGUGGGGUAGUGGCUUACCAAGGCUUUGACGGGUAGCCGGCCUGGGAGGGUGACCGGCCACAUUGGGACUGCGAUACGGCCCAGACUCCUACGUGAGGCAACAGUGGGGAAUAUUGCACAAUGGGCGGAAGCCUGAUGCAGCAACGCCGCGUGCGGGAUGACGGCCUUCGGGUUGUAAACCGCUUUCGCCUGUGACGAAGCGUGAGUGACGGUAAUGGGUAAAGAAGCACCGGCUAACUACGUG
rnacentral:rRNA from 1 species